rnacentral:lncRNA from 1 species
AUUGGUCAGGGGUCACUCAGUGGUCACUCAGUGGUCACUCAGUGGUCACUCAUUGGUCAAUGGUCACUCAUUGGUCACUCAUUGGUCACUCAAUAGGCAGUAUAAGGACAGUGGUCACUCUGGUCACUCAGUGGUCACUCAAUGGUCACUCAAUGGUCACUCAGUGGUCACUCAUUGGUCAGUGGUCACUCAGUGGUCACUCAUUGGUUAGUAAUGGUCACUCAGUGGUCACUCAGUGGUCUCUCAAUGGUCACUCAUUGGUUACUCAUUGGUCACUCAGUGGUCAGUGGUCACUCAGUGGUCACUCAGUGGUCACUCAGUGGUCAGUGGUCACUCAGUGGUCACUCAAUGGGCAGUAUAAGGGCAAUAUAUGGGCAGUGGUCACUCAGUGG